UUAUUUGAGAGUUUGAUCCUGGCUCAGGAUGAACGCUGGCGGCGUGCCUAACACAUGCAAGUUGAGCGAUUUACUUCGGUAAAGAGCGGCGGACGGGUGAGUAACGCGUGGGUAACCUACCCUGUACACACGGAUAACAUACCGAAAGGUAUGCUAAUACGGGAUAAUAUAUUUGAGAGGCAUCUCUUGAAUAUCAAAGGUGAGCCGGUACAGGAUGGACCCGCGUCUGAUUAGCUAGUUGGUAAGGUAACGGCUUACCAAGGCGA
rnacentral:rRNA from 1 species